rnacentral:rRNA from 1 species
AGUGAACGCUGGCGGUAGGCCUAACACAUGCAAGUCGAACGGCAGCACAGUAAGAGCUUGCUCUUACGGGUGGCGAGUGGCGGACGGGUGAGGAAUACAUCGGAAUCUACUUUUUCGUGGGGGAUAACGUAGGGAAACUUACGCUAAUACCGCAUACGACCUACGGGUGAAAGCAGGGGAUCUUCGGACCUUGCGCGAUUGAAUGAGCCGAUGCCGGACUAGCUAGUUGGCGGGGUAAAGGCCCACCAAGGCGACGAUACGUAGCUGGUCUGAGAGGAUGAUCAGCCACACUGGAACUGAGACACGGUCCAGACUCCUACGGGAGGCAGCAGUGGGGAAUAUUGGACAAUGGGCGCAAGCCUGAUCCAGCCAUACCGCGUGGGUGAAGAAGGCCUUCGGGUUGUAAAGCCCUUUUGUUGGGAAAGAAAAGCAGCAGGUUAAUACCCCGCUGUUCUGACGGUACCCAAAGAGUAAGCACCGGCUAACUUCGUG